rnacentral:tRNA from 2 species
CAUUAGAUGGCUGAAAGUAAGCCAUGGAAUUUUAAACCAUUUAUAAUAUUUUAACGUAUAUUUCUAAUG